GGAUGUACGACCAGACGCAGCAACGGCAACAACAACAUUUAGAGGUGGCAAAAAGUAAAGAAAAGAAGACCAGCGGCCGCGAUAAAUGGCUCCUGAGGCGGAGGUGGAUGAAUGAGGGGAUCACGAAGCUGUGGGUGGCUGGAUGCUCGGAGCUCAAUGUAAGCACACGCAACAAUGGUCCAAGUGGGUCAAGAAAACUGAAGAGAGCCAAAAAGUUAAGAGAUGAAUUCUCUGCCAGAUUUUCCAGAAGGGAAAAGACAAAGUAAUCUUGGCACGAGCAUAUCAGCCAUGGCUGUUGAGAUGAAGGAAAGAAAAGCUGACUGUAAACACAAUGAUGAAAUGAUGAAUAACAAAUUCCCUUUACGAAAGAAAAGAGAUUGCUGAAGAUGAACCACUUGUAAGAUGGCCAGCGUUGAUCUCUGAGCGGCAGUGUGUUGUUUUCUCAAAUAAGCUUGAGAUGACAUUUGUUGUGUUUUUAUGUCAAUUUUUUAAAGCACUGAUCAAAAUCAUAUUCUUUGACUCAUUGUUUUCGUUUUACGCCAUCCGACAGACUGAAGCUAAAUUUGCUCGCCUCACAUCUGCCGACCUGAAAGGCUCGCUGUUUGCUGUGCUUGACCAGUACCUUACGAGGUUCAAUGGAUAAAAAGCCAACAGCUGCAUAGUGUGACUGACGAGGCUCACAAGAGUUCUUGACGAUGACGAUGAUUGCAUGUUGUUUUAGGAAGAAGUAAAACGACUGAACAUGUGUGUUUAAUUUGUA